AGAACGAACGCUGGCGGCAUGCCUAACACAUGCAAGUCGAACGCGUGUAGCGAUACACGAGUGGCGGACGGGUGAGUAACGCGUGGGAACCUGCCCUGGAGUGUGGGAUAACCGAGGGAAACUUCGGCUAAUACCGCAUACGACCUGAGGGUGAAAGAUUUAUCGCUCUAGGAGGGGCCCGCGUCGGAUUAGCUAGUUGGUGGGGUAAAGGCCUACCAAGGCAGUGAUCCGUAGCUGGUCUGAGAGGAUGAUCAGCCACACUGGGACUGAGACACGGCCCAGACUCCUACGGGAGGCAGCAGUGGGGAAUAUUGGACAAUGGGGGGCAACCCUGAUCCAGCAAUGCCGCGUGAGUGAUGAAGGCCUUAGGGUUGUAAAGCUCUUUCGCGCGCGACGAUGAUGACGGUAGCGCGAGAAGAGCCCGGCUAACUUCGUGCCAGCAGCCGC
rnacentral:rRNA from 1 species